rnacentral:rRNA from 1 species
UAGCCCCAACGGGUGCUGUGAUGGGUAGGGGAGCGUCGUCUGCCGGGUGAAGCAGCCGCGGAAGCGAGUUGUGGACGGUUGACGAGUGAGAAUGCAGGCAUGAGUAGCGAUUCACACGUGAGAAACGUGUGCGCCGAUUGACUAAGGGUUCCUGGGUCAAGCUGAUCUGCCCAGGGUAAGUCGGGACCUAAGGCGAGGCCGACAGGCGUAGUCGAUGGAUAACCGGUUGAUAUUCCGGUACCCGCUGUGAAGCGUCAAACAUCGAAUCCAGUGAUGCUAAGCCCGUGAAGCCGCCGGCUGAGUCUUCGGACGAGGUCGGAGUGGUGGAGCCGGUGACCCGAGCUGGUAGUAGGUGAGUGAUGGGGUGACGCAGGAAGGUAGUCCAUCCCGGGCGGUGGUUGUCCCGGGGUAAGGGUGUAGGACGUCAGGUAGGCAAAUCCGCCUGGCAUGUGUCUGAGACCUGAUGCCGAGCCGAUUGUGGUGAAGUGGAUGAUCCUAUGCUGUCGAGAAAAGCCUCUAGCGAGUUUCAUGGCGGCCCGUACCCUAAACCGACUCAGGUGGUCAGGUAGAGAAUACCGAGGCGUUCGGGUGAACUAUGGUUAAGGAACUCGGCAAAAUGCCCCCGUAACUUCGGGAGAAGGGGGGCCACAUCCGGUGAUGAGCUUCGCGCUCUGAGCUGGGGGUGGCCGCAGAGACCAGCGAGAAGCGACUGUUUACUAAAAACACAGGUCCGUGCGAAGCCGUAAGGCGAUGUAUACGGACUGACGCCUGCCCGGUGCUGGAACGUUAAGGGGACCGGUUAGCU